GCCUGGAUAGGUCAGUUGGUUGGAGCGUGGUGCUGAUAAUGCCAAGGUUGCAGGUUCGAUCCCCAUAAGGGACA